rnacentral:tRNA from 1 species
GCCUGGGUGGCUCAGUCGGUUGAGCGUCCGACUGCAACUCGGGUCAUGGUCUUAACGGUUUGUGAGUUCGAUCCCCGCAUCGGGCU